GUCUUCAUAGGGUAAUUAUCACUGCUUAUGGACCCGAUCCUGGGUAAUCUAUCCAUGGCUAGGAUGAAGCUUAGGUGAAACUAAGUGGAGAUCUGAACCGACUGAUGUUGAAGAAUCAACAGAUGAGUUGUGGUUAGGGAUGAAAUGCCACUGGAACCAAGAGCUAGCUAGUUCUCCUUGAAAUAGUUGACUGGACAUCUAAGGAUAAAGCACUAUUUUCAGUACGGGUCGUGAAAGCAGUACCAAAUCGAGGCAAACUUUGAAUACUAGAUAUGACCUCAAAAUAGCAGGGGUCAAGGUUGGCCAGUGAGAUGAUGGGGGAUAAGCUUCAUCAUCGAGAGGAAAACAACCUAGAUAACUAACUAAAGCCCCUAAAUGAUCGCUCAAUGAUAAAGGAGGUAGGGGUGUAAAGAUAGCCAUGAGGUUUACCUAGAAGUAGCCACCUUUGAAAGAGUGUGUAAUAGCUCACUGAUCAAGUGUUCUUAUGUGGAAGAUGAACGGGGCUAAGCGAUCUGUUGAAGCUAUGGGAUGUAAAAAUACAUCGGUAGGGGAGCAUUNGUCUUUGUUCUUUUCUUUUCUUUUGAUCUCAAAUCUUAUUAGAUUGCAUUGUUAUAGCUGAU
rnacentral:rRNA from 1 species